rnacentral:rRNA from 1 species
GAUGAACGCUGGCGGCGUGCCUAAUACAUGCAAGUCGAGCGAAUCUGGGACGGGUGAUUAAUACGUGUAUAACCUCCUUUAAGCCUGGGAUAACUUCGGGAAACCGGAGCUAAACCGGAUACUUAUCGAUGGAUCCGCGCUGCAUUAGCUAGUUGGUAAGGUAACGGCUUACCAAGGCAACGAUGCAUAGCGGACCUGAGAGGGGGAUCGGCCACACUGUAACUGAGACACGGUCCAGACUCCUACGGGAGGCAGCAGUAGGGAAGUGUCCGCAAUGGGCGAAAGCCGGACCGAGCAACGCCGCGUGAGUGAUGAAGGUCUUCGGAUCGUAAAACUCUGUUAUUAGGGAAGCGGUACCUAAUCAGAAAGCCACGGCUAACUACGUGCCAGCAGCCGCGGUAAUAC